rnacentral:lncRNA from 1 species
GUGGGGAGCCGCAUGGUGGCUGCCAUAGGAACCCCCGAAUCCACCAUGAUGAGAAUAGCCAGUACUUGGUGGGGAUGGGCCGGCAGGGUAACUUGUGACGGGGUACCCGCCUUGUUGAGGAUAAGCCGCGUACCCUGCUGAUGAGUAGCCACUUGGCGGGUACCCUGCUGAGUAGCCACUUGGCGGGUACCCAGCUGAGUAGCCACUUGGCGGGUAGCUUUGUGGCGGAUAAGCUGCUCCCGAUGGAGGAUAGCUCUGUCCUUGAGGACACGAUCCAUAUCCAGGACCGCCAAAGCCAAACAGCCCUUUGUCACCUCCCAUAGUCGUCAGCAAAUAUAACUGGUUUCCACAAUAAAGAUAUUAUAAACUGAUUAGAUUCAUACACACACACACACAUCAUGCAUAGCAAAUACAGGUUCCAAUUAAUAAAAAAUAUCAUUACUGAAUCCAAAAUCAACAUUGAAUCACUUAAAGUAUUAAAGUUUAAGAGUUAAAAAAUGAUAAUAAUAAUAAUAAUAAUAAUAAUAAUAAUAGAUGAUUGAUUGUACCCAAAUGAGUUUAUUGAACUACACCCUUGUAUUAUUAAUGCCCUUAUUCAACUUCACCAAAAUAUUAAACAUAUAGAUAAUGAUAAUUAAACGAAGUAAUUAAACGAGAUAGAAAGCUAACCUUAGUAAUGUGAUACCCGAAAAUUCUACACGCG